UGUCAAAUUAAUCAGUUCAGUUUUUGUUUUAAAAAAUCAGACAAGACCGCAUAUUUCUUAGAAAAAAAAAAAAUACAAACAAACAAAAUAUUGAAAGAAGCACGUAAAGCUCAUUGCGGCUUGAUUUAUGCAAAAACGAUUUAUAUCUACAAUCAAUGGCUAAAUUAAAUUAUACUGUUCAGUCGUUUAUCAACAAUAUUGUCAUGCAAUGAAAACAAACUUAAAGUACCUACCUGUUAAAGAUCUCUCAACAGAGAUAAUAAUGAUAUCAAUUGAAUAGUGAUGACUGAUGAAAUAACAGCAAAGAGUGCGAAAACAAAAACAUUCACUUAUGUAAAAAGGAACCAUUCAUAGUACAGUGACCUUAUCUGUCACUGUCUAUGGGUCAAAUCUGGUAGUUUUUGGCAGAGGUGUUUCUAGUAAUGGCUCAAUAAAAAUUCUUAGUUUUCGAACAGAGGGGUGUCGAACUCAACAUUGAAAAGUGUACAAAAUUUAAAAUACCUAAUAUUAAACAUUUUUAUUCUUUGUUGUUUGUUGAUCUAA